CUUCCAGUAGCACCUUAAAGACCAACUAAGUUUUUUAUUGGUAUGAGCUUUCGUGUGCAUGCAUACCAAUAACAUACCAAUAACAAACUUAGUCUCUAAGGUGCUACUGGAAG